rfam:Gossypium raimondii Chr04_contig_35, whole genome shotgun sequence.
GAUUAAAUAUUUCAUCCAUUUGUAUUGUUAAAAAUUGACGUGGCUAAUGGAAUUACUAAACAAUGAUACGUGGCAUGUCAUGUUGAUGUAUAGAGAUAGAGACCAAUUUUUAACAGUCCAAUGGAUGGGAUUUUUAACA